rnacentral:tRNA from 7 species
GGCCUGGUGGCCGAGUAGUUAGGCAGAGGUCUGCAAAACCUCGUACAGCGGUGCGAAUCCGCUCCAGGCCUCCA